UGGGGAAUAUUGGACAAUGGGCGCAAGCCUGAUCCAGCCAUGCCGCGUGGGUGAAGAAGGCCUUAGGGUUGUAAACCCCUUUCAGCGGGGAAGAUAAUGACGGUACCCGCAGAAGAAGUCCCGGCUAACUCCGUGCCAGCAGCCGCGGUAAUACGGAGGGGACUAGCGUUGUUCGGAAUUACUGGGCGUAAAGCGCACGUAGGCGGAUUUGUAAGUCAGGGGUGAAAUCCCGGGGCUCAACCUCGGAACUGCCUUUGAUACUGCAAAUCUCGAGUCCGGAAGAGGUGAGUGGAAUUCCUAGUGUAGAGGUGAAAUUCGUAGAUAUUAGGAAGAACACCAGUGGCGAAGGCGGCUCACUGGUCCGGUACUGACGCUGAGGUGCGAAAGCGUGGGGAGCAAACA
rnacentral:rRNA from 1 species